rnacentral:rRNA from 1 species
GAACGGGGUCAUUAAGGAAAAAUCCUUCGGGAUUCGGAAUUCUUGACCUAGUGGCGGACGGGUGAGUAACGCGUGAGCAAUCUGCCUUUGGAUGGGGGAUAACAGCCGGAAACGACUGCUAAUACCGCAUAAUGCAGCGGGACCGCAUGAUUUUGCUGCCAAAGAUUUAUCGUCCAAAGAUGAGCUCGCGUCUGAUUAGCCAGUUGGCGGGGUAACGGCCCACCAAAGCGACGAUCAGUAGCCGGACUGAGAGGUUGAACGGCCACAUUGGGACUGAGACACGGCCCAGACUCCUACGGGAGGCAGCAGUGGGGAAUAUUGCGCAAUGGGGGAAACCCUGACGCAGCAACGCCGCGUGAGUGAAGAAGCCUUCGGGUUGUAAAGCUCUUUAAUCAGGGACGAAGAAUGACGGUACCUGAAGAAUAAGCUCCGGCUAACUACGUGCCAGCAGCCGCGGUAAUACGUAGGGAGCAAGCGUUAUCCGGAUUACUGGUGUAAAG